rnacentral:rRNA from 1 species
GAUCUAGCUCAGGAUGAACGCUAGCUACAGGCUUAACACAUGCAAGUCGCGGGGCAGCAUGAAGUCAGCUUGCUGACUUUGAUGGCGACCGGCGCACGGGUGAGUAACGCGUAUCCAACCUGCCUGUUACCACGGCACAGCCCGUCGAAAGGCGGAUUAAUGCCGUAUGUGGUCCUUUGCGGGCAUCUAAUUAGGACUAAAGGUUCGGCGGUAACGGAUGGGGAUGCGUCCGAUUGG